rfam:Agrilus planipennis Contig2167, whole genome shotgun sequence.
GUUACUUUUCCAGCAUACUGGAGAUGGAAUCACAAAUAUUUCUUGCCAAAAAGAAAUGGCAUAGCUCCAUACUUUCAGGUCAUUACAGCAUCAAUGAUAUUCUUCUACGUGAUAAAUUAUGGAAAGAUUAGUAAGUGUACAGCACUUUCAA